rnacentral:misc_RNA from 1 species
AUUCAAAUAACAUAAAAAAGAAAAUAGAUAUUGACAUGGAUUAAACAAAGAUAUAUAUUAUUCUAUGUUACAUAAACAAAUUGGCAAAGUAGAGAUGGAAGAUAAAAAUAUGGUCAAAGUAAUAAGAGUCUAUGGUGAA